rnacentral:lncRNA from 1 species
UAGCCGAGCAUCAUCUAGAGAAGGCAUCUGAUGAUGUUCGUAAAAGAACUGAGGCAGCAGUGCUAGAUGUUCUUGAAUAUGAAGUUGCCUUUUGGAACAUGAGCCAAGGGGAUACCUGAAUGCUUUGGGUUGAUAUCUCUCCCAGUGCCUGGGCAUGUUAGACAAUGUGGGUGAUGCACCUUUGAGUGACUCUAGCAGGAUUGUGUGUAUUAACGUUUAAUAAAUUGCCUAGAGUUUGAUUUUCUACAUUAACGUCUAAUAAAUUGCCCAGAGUUUGAUUUUCUACACAUCUUGAUUUCAGUAUCCUCCAGUAUCUGUAGAACUAAGUCUGCGCAUUGUCAUUUUCUGCUGCUAUCCAUCUAAAGAUGACUGUUAUCCAAGUUAGGAGGGCUUCUGCCUCUGAUUAGUGAUGCAAAUUAAUUCCUUUCUUCCAACAUCGAACCAGCCAUUGCAUUUAGAAAGAAUAUCUACACCGCUCAACUUCGGCUGCAC